rnacentral:rRNA from 1 species
AACGCGAAGAACCUUACCUGGGCUCGAAAUGUACAGGAAUCCGGUGGAAACAUCGGCGCCCAGCAAUGGGCCUGUAUAUAGGUGCUGCAUGGCUGUCGUCAGCUCGUGUCGUGAGAUGUUGGGUUAAGUCCCGCAACGAGCGCAACCCUUACCUCCAGUUGCUACCAUUUAGUUGAGCACUCUGGCGGAACCGCCUCGGAUAACGGGGAGGAAGGUGGGGAUGACGUCAAGUCCUCAUGGCCUUUAUGUCCAGGGCUACACACGUGCUACAAUGGCCGGUACAAACCGUCGCAAAGCCGCGAGGUGGAGCUAAUCGGAAAAAGCCGGCCUCAGUUCGGAUCGCAGUCUGCAACUCGACUGCGUGAAGCUGGAAUCGCUAGUAAUCGUGGAUCAGAAUGCCACGGUGAAUACGUUCCCGGGCCUUGUA